rnacentral:rRNA from 1 species
CCGCCCGUCACACCAUGGGAGUUGAUUGCACCAGAAGCAGGUAGCCUGACCGCAAGGAGGGCGGCUUACCACGGUGUGGUCAAUGACUGGGGUG